rnacentral:rRNA from 1 species
GAUGAACGCUGGCGGCGUGCCUAAUACAUGCAAGUCGAGCGAACGGACGAGAAGCUUGCUUCUCUGAUGUUAGCGGCGGACGGGUGAGUAACACGUGGAUAACCUACCUAUAAGACUGGGAUAACUUCGGGAAACCGUAGCUAAUACCGGAUAAUAUUUUGAACCGCAUGGUUCAAAAGUGAAAGACGGUCUUGCUGUCACUUAUAGAUGGAUCCCCGCUGCAUUAGCUAGUUGGUAAGGUAACGGCUUACCAAGGCAACGAUGCAUAGCCGACCUGAGAGGGUGAUCGGCCACACUGGAACUGAGACACGGUCCAGACUCCUACGGGAGGCAGCAGUAGGGAAUCUGCCGCAAUGGGCGAAAGCCUGACGGAGCAACGCCGCGUGAGUGAUGAAGGUCUUCGGAUCGUAAAACUCUGUUAUUAGGGAAGAACAUAUGUGUAAGUAACUGUGCACAUCUUGACGGUACCUAAUCAGAAAGCCACGGCUAACUACGUG